rnacentral:rRNA from 1 species
UACCUGAUUCAGCGGCGGACGGGUGAGUAAUGCCUAGGAAUCUGCCCGAUAGUGGGGGACAACGUUUCGAAAGGAACGCUAAUACCGCAUACGUCCUACGGGAGAAAGUGGGGGAUCUUCGGACCUCACGCUAUCGGAUGAGCCUAGGUCGGAUUAGCUAGUUGGUGAGGUAAUGGCUCACCAAGGCGACGAUCCGUAACUGGUCUGAGAGGAUGAUCAGUCACGCUGGAACUGAGACACGGUCCAGACUCCUACGGGAGGCAGCAGUGGGGAAUAUUGGACAAUGGGCGAAAGCCUGAUCCAGCCAUGCCGCGUGUGUGAAGAAGGUCUUCGGAUUGUAAAGCACUUUAAGUUGGGAGGAAGGGCAGUAAGCUAAUACCUUGCUGUUUUGACGUUACCAACAGAAUAAGCACCGGCUAACUUCGUGCCAGCAGCCGCGGUAAUACGAAGGGUGCAAGCGUUAAUCGGAAUUACUGGGCGUAAAGCGCGCGUAGGUGGUUCAGCAAGUUGGAUGUGAAAUCCCCGGGCUCAACCUGGGAACUGCAUCCAAAACUACUGAGCUAGAGUACGGUAGAGGGUGGUGGAAUUUCCUGUGUAGCG